GUGUCAGCAGCCGCGGUAAGACGAACCGUCCUAACGUUGUUCGGAAUCACUGGGCUUAAAGGGCGCGUAGGCGGCCCUGUAAGUCGGGGGUGAAAGCCCACGGCCCAACCGUGGAAGUGCCUCCGAUACUGCGGGGCUCGAGGGAGGUAGGGGCAGCGGGAACUUCCGGUGGAGCGGUGAAAUGCGUUGAUAUCGGAAGGAACGCCGGUGGCGAAAGCGCGCUGCUGGACCUCUGCUGACGCUGAGGCGCGAAAGCCAGGGGAGCAAACGGGAUUAGAAACCCGUGUAGUCC
rnacentral:rRNA from 1 species